rnacentral:rRNA from 1 species
GAUGAACGCUGGCGGCGUGCUUAACACAUGCAAGUCGAGCGAAGCGGUUUCAAUGAAGUUUUCGGAUGGAUUUGAGAUUGACUUAGCGGCGGACGGGUGAGUAACGCGUGGGUAACCUGCCUUACACUGGGGGAUAACAGUUAGAAAUGACUGCUAAUACCGCAUAAGCGCACGCUACCGCAUGGUAGCGUGUGAAAAACUCCGGUGGUGUGAGAUGGAUCCGCGUCUGAUUAGCCAGUUGGCGGGGUAACGGCCCACCAAAGCGACGAUCAGUAGCCGACCUGAGAGGGUGACCGGCCACAUUGGGACUGAGACACGGGCCCAAACCCCUACGGGAGGCAGCAGUGAGGAAUAUUGGUCAAUGGCCGAGAGGCUGAACCAGCCAAGUCGCGUGAA